UUGUUAUGAUGAUGCAGAGUGUGGUUUCAUUUCUUACUGAUAAGCAAUGAAGUUAAUUUUCUCUUGGCUGUCUGAACAA